rnacentral:lncRNA from 1 species
UAAAAGCAACUCUGACCAUUUAUAAAAGAUAGAACCAAAAAUGGUGUUUACAUACCCAUUUCAGCUAAAAACCCCAGUGGAGCUUGGAGUGUGUCUUCAGGACAAGCAGCAUCAGCAUCACCUGGGAACUUGUUAGAUAUGCAGAUUCUUAGGAUGCAUCCCAGACCUAACGAAUAAACCUCUCCAGGUGGAGCCCAGCCAGCUGGUUUAACAAGCCCUCCAGGUGAUUCGAAUGCACACUGAAGUCUGAGAACCACUGCUUUAAGGUAAGUUGAGAAAGCCUUGCAGAAGUGUCUCAAAAUGUCACCUGCAGCUGUAGCUAUAGGAAGCUCACGGGGUUCCACACACCCACAAGUGGUGGCAGUUCAUACAGAGUUCUUAACAGCUCUGACCGAGGCAGGAGACUAAUUAUCAAAGAAGGAGCUUCUGGGUCUCUCACAGGAGACAGGCUCUACGUUGCAAAAAUGGGCCACCAACAGCGCUUCCCCACAUGCUGGAAGAAAUGACAAGAAACUGAAUGAGCUUUUAACCCCCAGAUAUACUAGCCUGCACGUUUGAUCAUUCAGCAGGGUAGAGUUGCCCCACCACUAAAAAAGGACGUUAACAGGAAAAUAGAAGUAAACGAGCAAAUAGAAAAAAAACAGUAUUUCAAGGACAGCCAUUUAGAAAAUGACUUGAUGGAAUGAGAAUAAGACGCCCGAGCACUUUAUCACCAAUUAUCCUAAGGAGACAAUGACUAUAUUUACUCGUCUAUAUUUUCCCCUGCCUUAUUCCUGCCUCUAUUUUGAGAAGAAAAUGAAGAAAAACGUUUCCCCUGAGUUCCCUUAAGCUCACACUUUUUCGACUAACAAUGUUUGCGACAGCCAGGAGGCUCCUUGUGAGUCUAGAACACCAGUCUCUUAAAGUAGAGCAGAACACUUGCCCUUCCCGCUUUGUUUUGUUGUUGUUCUGUUUUGUUUUCAUUUUUUUAAUGUACCUUCUCCUUUCCAAGUCAAGCGAGAGAUUAAACUGAAGUCCUGAGUGGAGCUCCGUUCAUGAUUGGAGGGCAACAAAAAGGAACAUGUGCACAUUUCACUAUUUCUCCUUCUUACCUGACAUUUUCCUGCCUGAAAAAAGACAAAGAAAAAUGGUUUCAAAAUUGUCUUGAACAAUGGAAACAUUGUUAAAAUGAGUGCAAAAAGAAAAACUUAGGCUUACAGAUCCAUAAUUUAAUUACUUUCAACCUAGAAAAUACAUCUCUGUUCUGUUCUGCCUAAUACUGUAUUCUCUACACAUAGCUUCGUCCUGACAGUUACACCCACAGAAAUAAAACUAUUUGACAGCAUUUUUAUGACCUUCAACAAAAGCAAACAUUUGAAUUAUCUUAAGUUGCUGGGCACUUCGGAUACUCACGUCUAUCCAUUUGUGUAUUUCUAGCACGUAGCAGGUGCUGAAUAUAUUUUUAUCUUUUUAAUUCUAUUCCAUGAACUGGGCACUAAGUUUUUAUUUU